AUGAGCCAAGAUUGGUAGCCUUUAAGCUACUACUGAUUUUAAACUGAAGAGUUUGAUCAUGGCUCAGAUUGAACGCUGGCGGCAGGCUUAACACAUGCAAGUCGAGCGGAGUUGUGGUGCUUGCACCAUAACUUAG
rnacentral:rRNA from 1 species